UUAAAAAAAAUCGAAAUCCCUACUAAAAUAUGUUCUUCAGCUUUUUCUUACCCUCUUCAACGUCUCUCAACCUAAAAAAAUGCAGCCACUCGUACAACCACUACUAUUAUCGUCACUGCCGCAUCACUCUUUCGACUCACCAGUCUCCACCGCUGAGAAGCUUCACCAAGCCAUGGCCUCUUCGAGUCCCAGCUCCGCUUAAAAGUUAUCUCCCUCCAAGCUUCAUUCUGUGUGUUACACGAAGAAGACAUCAGUUUUGUGUUGUGGCGAGGUGACUGCAUUGCUGGGGUUUUAGCUCCGACAAGGGAUGGGGCUUAUUUUGGGUGAGCUUCUGGGUUCAGGAUGGGAAAGAACGGGCGGGAGAGAGUGGGGUGCUCUGACUGUGACCUUCGAUUGUGACGCCACACGGGAAGGGUUGGGGUUGCAAGAUCGUCGACGACGGGAAGGGUUGGGUUGCUAGGUGGAUGUUGGAUGGGGAUGAACAGAUCUGGGAUUGAUUUGAAAUUUUUUGUUUGUAAAUUUUGAAAGGAAAAUCUGUGAGUUUAGUUGUGUGAGAAUUUGAAAAGAAAGUCUAUUUUAGAAUGCUUUGUGUCAAUAUCUUGCAACUGGGAUUGAUUUGUUGUUCUAUCCGUGAGAUUGAAUGAAAAGUUCUUGGGGAUAA